GGUCUGGGUGAUGAACUGGAAGAAGUUAUUGUUGAGAAAACGAAACAGACACUAGCUUCAAUAUCAUCAGGACCUAAGCAUACCCA
rfam:Human rhinovirus 37 VP1 capsid protein gene, partial cds.